GUUUCUUUCUCGUUUCCUGUUUCCCCGCGACGAGACGAUGAUCGCUCGGGUAAUUAGUUUUGCGCGGUGAAAAGAAAGGGAAAGGAGAACGAAAAGGAAUCAUAGAAGGUAAGCCUUCCAGAAGAACCGAUCAUGGAGCACGCCAUCUGAUCAAUAUCUGUUUAAGACUAUUUCUUCUUCGUUCGAAAAAGGGGUAAAUUAUAACAACUUUUCAAUUUACAAACUCACUUCACUUUUCAAUACCUAUACUUCUUCUUAUACCACCAGAAGAAUGAUUAAAAAAAAAAAGAAAAAACGAAACGUCGAUAAAUACGUCAAACACGACUCUCGUUCUCGAGAUCACAAACG